UUGCCCCUAAAAUGAAUUUGUGUCUCAGAGCCAUGUCUCAGUUGCCUUAAAACAAAGCAACCCUUAUGAGGUAGGAAGGAGGGGCCUCUGUGAAGGAGUCUGACCUAGAAGAGAGUGCCCUUCUGACCUUAGACCUCUCUCUAGAGCUUCAGAGCAGAGACAGAAGAGCCCAGGAAGGAGCAGAUCCUAGAUUUGCAAGGUCAGAAGCAGAUCUGAUCCCCUUGCCUGGAAUGAGCCAGACUUAAUGAUGAUGCCACCUUCAGGAGCCACCACACUAUGCUGCGCUGCUGUCACAGGUGUCCAUCACCACAUGUGACAUUAAUGACAUUAUCUUGAAAACUUUAAAGACGUUGGGCCUGAAAGUUUCAGUGACUUGUCCAGGGAAACCCAGUUUGUUUGUGACAGAGUCAAAAGGAAAACAGUGCAGUUCCCUCUCUCACAGCUGAACCACAGUUCUCUACACUCUCCCAGGAGCCACAGAAAAUGAACAUCCCUCAA